UCCCAGGUGGCUCAGUGGUGAAGAAUCUGCCUGCCAAGCAGGAGACAUGGGUUUGAUCCCUGUGUUGGGAA
rnacentral:tRNA from 1 species